AGCAGCAGCAUAGCACACAAAUGUCAACUGUCAACGCGGUAACAACACUAGACGAGGCAAUUUAAGUAUUCGACGACCCUAGUAAUACCACCACCAAAGGUAGUAGCAACAUAUAGUGCAGAAGAAGAGAAACUUAUGAUCCACAAAACAAGCCCUACUCAGAUGUCCUGAACAUGGCACCAAAUUAAACCACUACGACGACACGAGACUUUAAUUGUCAUGAUUGAGAGGAUUACGCCCUCUCGCCACGGAUCCUCCUGGCCAGCUGGAUGUCUUUGGGCAUGAUGGUCACACGCUUAGCAUGGAUGGCGCACAGGUUGGUGUCCUCAAACAGACCAACUAGGUAGGCCUCGGCAGCCUCCUGGAGGGCAAGCACGGCAUGGCUCUGGAAACGCAGAUCAGUCUGCAAAACAAGAACGAGUUUGAUCAACCACUCAUCAAGAACCAGAUAAAGUGCCAAAACAGAAUCUCAUAAACAAGUUCAACUCAUAGACAUCUAACCUUGAAGUCCUGUGCAAUUUCCCUAACAAGCCUCUGGAAGGGCAGCUUCCUGAUCAACAGCUCAGUGCUCUUCUGGUACUUGCGGAUCUCACUAUCAAAUUGCAUUCAAGACAUAGCAAAUCAAUCAAGCAGCAAAAUACGAGGCUGGACAUAGACAAACAUUCAAGGAUAUUAUUUACUAACCGGAGGGCAACAGUUCCAGGGCGGUAGCGGUGGGGCUUCUUCACUCCUCCAGUGGUCGGGGCUGACUUACGGGCAGCCUAUGAAGCAAUAUUGCAAAGGGUACCAUUGAGUUGAAGCUUCAAACCAAUAUCAACACCUAACAACAAAAAAGCAUAUAUGAAGAACCUUACCUUAGUUGCAAGCUGCUUCCUGGGAGCCUUCCCUCCCGUGGACUUGCGAGCGGUUUGCUUGGUACGGGCCAUCUGCAAUAAGAAAGAAAAGAUAUCAUGACACGUUCAGGUCCUCAAAUCAGAACCUAAAUAGAACCAGUAAACUGUUCUCAUAUGCACAGACAAGUGCUCAUUUCAGAAUGUGCAACAAACUAGUGAUAAUGCAAGAUACUGGUAAUUCUGUCAGCUAUUAUCAUUUACAUGUAUGCAUCAUGUGGUCACUAUUAGUUACUCUAGACCUGAAUACAGAGUAGGGGGCAAGUACAAUUGGACUAGAACAAGAUAAAUUAUGCAAACACAUUUCUAGUAACAAAUUUAAGAGCACCAACCAACCUACCAAUUGUUGGGUAAUGGGUUACAGGGGGUAAUUUGUGGUAGCCUAGCUUGUCUAGAUACCUUACCAACUAUUACUCAUGCAUACUACAAGUAUAAUCAAAAUCUAUGCAUCUAACCACCUACGUUCCAGGAAUGAACCACAUUGCUAAUGCAACAAACGAUUAAGUUCAGGUGCCAGCAAAACAUUCAGCCACAGCUCACAAAUCUACUUAGUGAACAUUUUAAGCAUGGAAUGGAAGAAUAUAGUUUUUCCAACUAUUAAUAAUGCAUGAAUUCACAAAACAAAGCACGCAUACACGUUAGUCUUCUUACAGGAAUCUAGGAUUCUUGCAAUCAAAUACCAGGUACCACCAGGUGAAUCAAAAUUGACUAUCAAUGUGCUGUGUUCAAAUUCAAACACCAGCUCUUCAGUAGCAAGUUAAAAAAGGCUACAAUUAUCAACCACAGCAAUGACACUUGCAUUAGCCAACAGCUGUAACUGUAAUUGUCACCUCAACAACUAGCACAACAAUAGGAACACCAAAAAGCAUAUAGCAGUACCCAAAUUUACAUCAUAGGAAACAACUCCAGCAAGAAUGCAGAAUUCAAACCUACAACGUGACUAGUAAUAAAAAUUUCCAUGGGAAAGCAUACUGAACCAGGACACACACUCAUGUAUGAGAAUUGACCUAAGACACAACAUCCUUAUCAUGUGCAUCCAGACUUUCCAGACUAGGGAAUGUCCAGCGAGGUGACAGUGACAAGUAGAUGCUAAGAACAAUAACUUAACCCACUAAAUUCGCAAGACAAUACAAAAUCAGAAGUGCUAUUCCGCGGCAAACUCAUCAUAUGAACAAUCAAUUGCCAUCCCAAUAAAUCACCAUAACAUCCAUGUGUUGCGUUCGCAACAACACUAGAUUCCACAGGGGGAGGGAACCAUGCGAGCAAACACUAAACCCCUAAGUUCACCAGUAAUUCAGAUCAGGGCUGCAAUUCGGCACGAAAUCAUAACUACUGCACCCAAAUCGCCCCAACCAUCGCUACAGUACCUAGCUGUCAGAGCCAAUCCCAACCCAAAUUGUGCCCGCCAGCACACAGCAGGCAGCUUCCGCCCGAAUCGAAGCAGAUCAGCCGAGCAAACCCUAAUACCCCAUACCCGCUGCCGCCCGCGCAACCCCCCAGGGGGAGCUCGGACCCGUCCGGUCCCCAACCCACGAACCUCGAAACGAAACAAGCGCAGACCCCCACGGCCGCGGGAAGCAACGACAGCGACGACGCCAUCUCGAAUUAGAAACCGCCGAGGAGGGGAAAGAGGAAAAGAGGCUCGCGGGCAUACCUUACCUCUCCGCGCGAGGAAGAGGAGGCCGGAAAAAUUGAGCAAGCCAGGCCGCUGCCUCCUAAUAUAGGGCGGCAUCCGCGUGGUAUAUCGGUUCGCGGGGGCUGGGCGGCCCGGAUCGGCUGCGGGUGUGUUUCUUUCUGGCGGAUCGGACGGCCGCGAGGGGUUUGGGUCUUUCGGCGGAGAUCCGUACGGCCAGUUACGACAACAGACAGCCACAGUGAAACGAGAACUGAAAGUAAACAGUGGAAUUGAGUGGACAGGAGGGGGGAAGGCACCGACUUGGAGACGGAGGGGAGGUGGUUCCGAUUGCCGGGUGCGCCGCGAAGGCCUCGAGCCAUCCGUUGACGUCGACCUUGAUCCGAUUCAGCGAUGAACCGAGCGAGCAUCAUCGGUACAGGAAGUUGAGUGGUGGAAAAGAAUUCCAAGUAGGGAGGGGAUGGAGGCCAGCGUAAAGGCGAGUAAGCGACCCACCUCGUUGAGCCAGAUGCGGCGGGCGGCGAGGAGGGCAUUGGCGAGGGAGGCGAAGGCGGAGGCGACCGCCAUCGCGGCGGCGAAGCAGCGGCUGCUGUUGGCGCGCAGCACGUCCUCUAUGGAGAGACGCGGCGGCGUCCCCAUCUCGCCGGCGGCUAACUCGAGAGCGCACGGGGUGCGGUGGUGCGGUGGGGGUUCCGCCGUUCUGGUCGGAAACCAUGAUAUACUAAACCUGACGUGGCUUUGCCGUACGUCCUGGUGGUGUUUAGCGAGUGUUUCUACUGUGGAAGAACAACCGCAACAAGCAUUAUGGUAUUGUUUUGCUUUUUUAUGUACCUUCUAAAUUAAAUCAACCAUUAACAUGCAUUAAUAAUAAAGAUGACUUUAUGAACAGAGUUAUACAUAUAGAUGCAGACAUGCAAUAAUCUAUUUACCUUUCCAGUACAGAAUUGUUGUGUGUGCUUGCUUUAUAUGAACUCGGCGGCUCUGAUGGGACUGUAACCACGAGGGAUGGAGAAUCGCGCUAUAGAAUUAGCGAGAAAUAGUAAGCUUUGAAAAUAUAGUAGAAACUUGUUUUAUGCGUCGGCAAAACCGCCGGCGGCGGCGGUCAUCCCGCAAUGUCGGCCGUUGGCUUGGGACGGUUGCACGCUGUGCUAUGAUGCUCUCAUCGCAUCCGGCAUGUCCGACCACAAGCGUCCUCAGAUUGGUGCGGGCUCGUUGUGUCUCCGCGCGGGCGCUCCUUGGACUGCACCACUUUGACGCAAGGGUGGCAGGGGAUGCGCGCGCAGACGCCGCGAUGCGGCCAAGCCCGACCUCGGUGAACCGUCAGAGUCAGCCAUCGCCAUCAGCGCGUGGCAGCCCAGCGAGAGAGUAGCCACGCUAGUACGCCGACGAGGGGUAGCCUUCCGUGUAGCGAAAUGACCGAGCAUUCUUAGCCCAUCGGAGGACACUUGUGGUCAGAGAGAGCAUGUGAAGGUGGCGCCGAGCAACUGCGCGGUGCAGUAGAGCCGGGCGGUCGCCGGUCGGCACGACAAUAAUGUGGCUGCAGGUGGUGAAUACGAACGUGACGGCGAAUCCCGCGCGGCCGCUGCGUCAGCUGCGAUGAACAGCACGAACGCCUAUGCUCUUCUUGUAUAUUGCUCUUUGUAAGGGGAAGGGAGUUUCUGUGCAUGUUCAAAUACGAUGGGAAGCGGUGAGCGUUUACCGGAGAAAGAAUACCCAGGAAGAGUCUAGAGAUCUAUCGAGCAACGCUUGGAAUGUGCUGAAAAAAAAAAUCCCUACACGCUAGCUGUGUUCCGUCCGUCCGAUCAAAACAACGCAUGGACCAACGGUAGUUUCACCGUACACGUGGCUCAUCCUGCACUCGUUUCUGGCCCGAUGGCAGGCUCAAGUUUCGUCUAUUCGAGAUUCCGUGAGGUGGCUUUGUUCUGUGCCACUCUCCUCAUUUGUUUUUUACAAAUUUAAUCCGACGAUAUGUCACUUCUAAAAUAAAAUAAAAUAGAUAUUUUAGUUAUUUAACUUUAUCUCAAGAGUCAAGUUUAUCUUUUAACUUUUAAAUUGGUCAAUGCAGUUUCUUAACUUUUGUUUUGAGAUCCAACUCGUCCAUUUGCUAAUAAUAUUCUCUAUAAUAGCAUAAGUUAAAUGCAAAAAGUUCUUUUUAUCCUUAUUUUUUCCCUCUGUUUAGAUCACUGUUCGCUCAACUUUCUGUAAUACAUAAUUAUGCAAUAAAUAUUUUAAUUUUACUCUCCACCACAAAACAAUACAAUCCAUGUGUAAAUAAAAUUAUAUAUUCUAAAUUAAAUACUUGUAAUGUUAAGCUUCUAAAUAAAUUUAUUAGAAGGAAAAGGAGUCAAAGGUAAAGAGAAGUUUUUCAUAAAUCCUAUAUUAUUAUGGAGUAUAAUAUUAAGUUUGACUUAAAAUAGAAAUUGAGGGAACUACGUUGGUCUAUAUAGUAAUAUAUUAAUCAAUUUAAAAGUUUAGGGAUGAAUUUAGAAGUUUAGGGAUGAAUUUGACCGCAGAUUGGAAUUGAGGCACUAAAAUACCUGUUUCUUUUAAAAAGCCGGUGCGACAUCGCGGAAAUUGGGAGCAAAGAAAUGUUAAUAAACGAUUUCAGAUCAAAAUCUCGUCCCUAUUGAACUAACUAAUCCAAAUGACAAAUGUAUGAUACGAUCAAACACAACACAAAGCAUACCGACCGAGAUCAGUAAUUGAGGGCGCCGAUCAAGACAACAAUUCCAUCGAAACAGAUUUGCCGGUUGCGCUGAACGUACGUUAUUAACCGCUUGGCAGGAGAAAAUGAAGACGCAUGACACACUAACAGGGCCCUCAAUAUAUAUAACAGAAGGAACGGAUAAAAUGCACACAAACUGUAACAAGAUACUUGACAUUAACGAACGGAUCAGCCACAGCAAUGAAGCUUACAAUCCAGCAGCACACAAACAGCACAGCUAAGGGGGUGUUCGUUUCCUCCUCUCUAAAUUUUAGACCCAUCACAUCAAAGAGAAUCUUAUCAUUUAGAAGUAUUAAAUAAAAUCUUUUUAUAAAUUUUUUUUGACAGAUGGGUGUUAAUUCGCGAGACAAAUUUAAUGAGCCUAAAUAAUCCAUAAUUUGCCACAGUGAUGCUACAGUAAUCAUCCACUAAUCAUGGAUUAAUAUACCUCAUUAGAUUCGUCUCGCGAAUUAGACCUGGGGUUCUGCAAUUAGUUUUGUAAUUAGACUUUAUUUAAUACUUCUAAAUGACAAGAUUCUCUUUGAUGUGACCCCUCUAAAAUUUAGAGGCAGGGAAACGAACACACCCUAAUCAGCAGCAGCACAGCACACAAAUGUCAACUGUCAACGCGGUACCAACACUAGACGAGACAAAUUAAGUAUUCGACGACCCUAGUAAUAGCACCAACAAAGGUAGUAGCAACAUAUAGUGCGGCAGAAGAGAAACUUAUGAUCCACAAAACAAGCCCUACUUAGAUGUCCUGAACAUGGCACCACAUUAAACCACUACGAC
rnacentral:lncRNA from 1 species